AGUGAACGCUGGCGGCAGGCCUAACACAUGCAAGUCGAGCGGCAGCGGGUCCCCNCGAGGGAGUGCCGGCGAGCGGCGGACGGGUGAGGAACACAUCGGAAUCUGCCUGGUUGUGGGGGAGUAACGUAGGGGAAACUUACGCUAAUACCGCAUGCGACCCUGAGUCGACGGACUUGGGGUGAAAGUGNGGGACCUUCGGCCUCACGCGACCAGAUGAGCCGAUGUCGGANAGUCUAGUUGGC
rnacentral:rRNA from 1 species